rnacentral:lncRNA from 1 species
GCCUUUGGCCUGUUGUGUUUAGCUUUAGGUGAUGAUGAAAUGUCCUUCCAUUCUAGGUGGAUAAGUCUCACGAGAUCUGAUGGUUUUAAAAAUGGGAGUUUCCCUGUACAAGCUCUCUCUUUGCCUGCUGCCAUCUGUGUAAGAAGUGACUUGCUCCUCCUUGCCCUCCGACAUGAUCAUGAGGCCUCCCCAGCCACAUGGAAUUGAAGCAAAGGACUCUGAAAUGGUGGAACACGAUGCAAGGAACCUGUAUCCUUGGGUUUACCCCUCAGAGGAAAACCACCCUGGAGAGUUGCUCAUACAGGAACCAUCUCAUAGGACUUUGUAUUCCAAGAUUAUAAAAAUAUUCUCCUGGCUGGGGCACAGUGGCUCACAACUGUAACCCCAACACUUUGGGAGGCUGAGGUGAGUGGCUCGCUUGAGGCCAGGAGUUCGAGAUCAGCCUAGGCAACACAUAACCCGGUCUCAAAUAAAUAAAUAAAUAAAUAAAUAAAUAAAUAAAUUCUCCUACAUUUGAUUUUACUCCCUAUAUUGUUUUAUUUUGAAAUUGAAAUCUUAAUUCCAUCUGGAAUGUAUUUUUGGGCAGGCAGUGAGGUAGGGAUCUAGCUCUAUAUGUUUCUACAUGGCUAGUGAGUUAAGGAUAUUUAGGUGCUAGUAAAGGUGCUAACUCAAGCUAGCUUGAUGGGGGAAAAAAAAGGAAUUUAUUAUAAGAAUAUGGAGUAUUUCUCUGGAACCCAGAUCUUGGAUGGAGCUUAAUCUCCCAAACGGCUGGAAUCAGAGAAGGAAAUGGUGUCAGGAAUGCAAAGAGUAGCUUGUUGCCAUUCCUCAGCUCUGCUGCCCUCUGAGCCUUGGCUUCAUUCAUCUCUGUGGCUGGGCUUUCUCGGCUACUUGGUCCUGUUGGUGGAAGCUGUGUAUACCAAAGCUCAACACGUGAGCUUUUAGGUUUCCUCACUUAAAGAUGCCAACCCUUCAGACUGGAAGAGACUCUGAUCAGUCUAGCUUGGGUCAGGGGUUCACCUCUGAUCCAACUAGCUUUGGCUAGGGAACAUGGGUCACUUAAUGUGUACAUGGCUGUUGUGGACCCACUCCUGAAACCUUAUGAAUUGGAAAGGAGAAGAUAGAAGAUAGAAGUUCUCUGGGAAGAAUCACUGUUACCUGGGCAGACACAUCUACUACACUAUUUGUCCCAGCACCAUUUUUUUCAGCACUAUUUUUGAACAAUGUGUAUGCCCACUAAUAAUCUCUUCCACUCUCCUGGAUGACUUUUUCAUGCUGCAUUAACUAUGGCAAGUGAACAGGGUUCCAUUGCUAAAGGAGACUUAGAGGACUCAAAUGGCAUUACUCUCAAGUAUAUAGUUUACUACAGGAAAAGGAUACAGCCAGGGGUCUGGAGUGGUCAGGUACAGGAUCCUAUUGUCCUCCUCUCUAAGAGCCGUGACAGCAGGAUGCACUUUAUCACUUGGACCAGGAACCACUGACAUGUGCACAGAACACCUCAGAACCAGGGAGUCCAAAAUGGACUCUCAGAUGGGUUUUAAACAAUUUUUUGACAGUCACACAGGCAUAUUUUAGCCUUAACAGUAGAGCCCUUUGAGGGAGGGACAGGUGUCACACUGAGACCAGGUACAAAUAAUCAGUCUCACUGUUACCAAUACAUAAUGUCGACAAGCUCGGACAAACCACCAUGAAUCUGA